rnacentral:misc_RNA from 1 species
GAUGAAGAACGUAGCGAAAUGCGAUAAGUAAUGUGAAUUGCAGAAUUCAGUGAAUCAUCGAAUCUUUGAACGCACAUUGCGCCCGCCAGUAUCCUGGCGGGCAUGCCUGUUCGAGCGUCAUUUCAACCAUCAAGCCCCAGGCUUGUGUUGGGGACCUGCGGCUGCCGCAGGCCCUGAAAACCAGUGGCGGGCUCGCUGUCACACCGGGCGUAGUAGAUUUUAUCUCGCUCAGGGCGUGCUGCGGGUUCCGGCCGUUAAAAAGCCUUUUUUACCCAAGGUUGACCUCGGAUCAGGUAGGAAGACCCGCUGAACUUAAGCAUAUCAAUAAGCGGAGGA